CAGUGCGGUUCUGGUCAGCAUGCUGCUGCAGGUCUACUGGGAGUUUUUGGAGAUCAAUACAUUUCCUCUUGCAUCUCCUCAACCUUCUUCUUCAGCCACAAGUUUGACUUUGCGCUAUUCACGAUAACGCAAAGGAUUUACACGAUGCAAACAAUCAAUGGGGCAAUUUAGAACUCCUUGCGUCUUGCGCUCGUGUCAGCUUCUUUUCUUCUGGUAAACUUUUAGUUACGUUUUUUUUUUUUCCUUCUUAAAGCCUUGAUUUUGCUGUCAAAUGAUUUGGCACCACACACAGAAACACAAUCCAGGCAACAGCACAUGUACAUAAAAGAAAUCAUAAUGUGUUGUUGUGUUUGCGCAAAGUCGCUCGUCAUGAUCUGUAAACCAUGUGCGCUCAUUGUGGUUUGAUCUUCCGGGCGACAAUGGCACAAAGUGGAACACAAUGACACACUUCCCACAUUGGUCGGUUGGUCUCCAUUCGCUCAGUGACAAGCCUCCUUUGCCACAUUGUUGAUGUUUUUUGUGCCUUGAAUCCCUGCGGAGGAUGGCAGUGAUUGUGCUACGCUAGUCAUACGGUGAUGGUUAUCACGCAGCGCCGUGGAACCCGUUUAUCUGGACCCACCCCCUCAGACUGGCAGAUUGACGUUAAGCUGUCCUCGACGUAGCCAAAAUUGAAACUGAAACUAACCAUUGCUUGUGCAUAGGCCUGUCACGAUAAUAGAUAAAUCGAUUAAUCCAAAGAUAAAAAAACAGGUCAAUAAUUAUGAGCCCUCUAUAAAUUGCCAUGUCCGUGCAUGCUUUUGUGUUCCAUAUGCUCGUUUCUCUGUGCCACACAGGCUGGAUGAAGAGAGGGUUCACUCUGCUUCUGUUAGUGCGAGUUGGUUCUAUCGUGGAAUAAACGGAGAGAGCGAACCCCCUUGUCAGCCAUUCAGCACGUGGAGGUGGGGCCACAAGUGAGUGGACACAGUCUUGUGCUAGCAGCAAACUAGCCUUCUUAGGGCCCUGUCACACCUUGACGAUUUAGCCAGCUUACGCCAACGUAUGAAAAAAUUGGCCGAUACGCUGGCGUACGUCGAAUAAGUUAUGGGUAAGUUUUGCAUAUGUUAACAGCACGCGGAAGCACGGCGGCAUACGUCGUAGUACGUCUAAGUCGGCCAAAAAUUUUGGGCCUGCUUAAAACUUUUCCACGUAUGUCAACGUAUGAUUCAUACGUCUCGCAUCCGCGGGCAAUUAGUCAUGCGAUCGUUGACGCCCGUUCACACACGUUAUUUGUAAGUUACGUGCAAGUCAAAAUACGUCAACAUACCUUGAGACAGAACUGUCUUCUUGGCGAGUGAAGAUGGAGAGGAGGAGAGGCUGUCGUGUUUGUAUUUGCAAGUAAGUUUGCAGCUUGACCAGUAGAGGGCACUGUGACACUGGGAAUGGAACCAACUUGUAUUGAUUCAACUUUAUUAUCAACUUUAUUAAUGCAUUAGCGGGUCACAAAUCCAUGAGUGGUAGCGUAUGCAUCCUACACCAGGGGUCUCAGACUCGUGGCCCCCGGGACGAUAGUUUGCGCCCCCCCGUCUUAAUAUGAAAGAUUAAUAUUCAUGUGGCCCGCAACUUUGAUAUGAAUGACACUUGUCGUGUGCGGAGCUGAACGAACCAAUCACGGUGAGUUAAAUUGCUCUCGAGGGCGGGACCUCGGCUGAACGAACCAAUCACGGUGAGGUUUAUCGCUUUCGAGGUCGGGACCUCGGCCGGGCAGUACGUCCAACGCCUCACCGCCAUGACUCGUUCGUUCGCUCUGAUGGUAAUGUUAAAUACUCUUGAGAAAUUCAAGUUUUUUACAUUUGAUACAAUGCACUUGCAUUAUUAUGCCAUAUAGAUAAUGUAUACUGUAUAAUGAAUGGUUCUGCAGCAUACUGACAAUGUAUAAUAAAUGUUUAUGCAAUGAUCUGGUAAUUGUCCUACAAAUUAUUGUCAAAAAUUGAUGUUAUUGACAUUUUUGAGACCAUGUUUUCAUUAUUUAUAUGACAUAAUAAUGCAGAACCAUUUAUUAUUUAGUGUAUAAUAAAUGGUUCUGCAGCAUACUGACAAAACGAUCCAAAGACGGUAGGCAGGGCUUGCGCACUAAGCAGAGAUGCCACGUUCACGGUGGCCUCAUCCUAGGUAGAAAAUACAUACAGUUCCAUUUGGUUAUCCUGACAGGCAUUUAUGCCAUAUAAUUGAUGAAAAAACGGGCUCAGUUCUGCGUCGUGUCAAUAUACGCUAUAUUUGAGUACCAUCUAGUGGUUCAAAUGUGAAUUACACCUCUCAUGACAAUUAUUCAUGAAAAAAAUGGUUUAAAACAAAUGUUGCCCAUAUUAUUGAUUAUUGACAAUAAUUUGUAGCACAAUUAUCGACCAGCAAAAUGUGUUUUCGUGACAGGCCUGCUUGUGCAUUUUUUUAAAUGUUCUUCUAUGUUUUUCAUAUAAUAUGGUAAUAGUGGUUCUGUACUGUGUGUGUGUGUGUGUGAAAUCAACCCUACCAAUUAGUACGACAGAAAAGAAGACAUCUAGGACAUAAAUAAGAUGUAACAUAGACUCACACGUUUGCAUUGACAGCGUACUUCCUGUGGUGGCUGUUGUCUCAUCAGUGUAACGUUACUGACACCUACACAGCAAAUUUCCACAGUGAAAUUCUGGUAAAUUUAAGCAAAAAAGAGUGAAAGUGUUGAUUCUUGACCUCUAACUCUGGUUUGAGUUGAGCGAUCAGAAUAACAUUUUAGAGCUCAUUCAGUGGGUGUUCCGGAGCGUAAUUCAACCCCUCUCUUGGAGUUCAUUUUUAACAGUUGCUCCUGGACUCCACCCCACGGACAGCAAGCUGAAACUGGGCUUCGUAAUGAGAACUCCCAUUGGCUGAAUCCUUCAGGAACUCUGAUGGCUGCUCAGGCAAGACAGUGACUCUUGCAAGGGGGUGAAGCACCAUCUUCACAUGCCAAGCAAAAUAUUGUGGCUAGAAAGGGAGCAGUUCACACAUUUCAAGUGCUCUGAUGCCCAAGUCAUGUGGGUGUGAUUCACCAUUUUAUCUUGUAUCAGAAAAUUGUAUUAUCUGAUUUAUCAGAAUGAGAUCCACGAAGAUGUUUUAUGUGCUGGAGUAAAUUCAAUGGUUUACCUCUGUUACACAAUGUUUCACUACAGACAUUGCUAUGUUUUUAUUGUUCUGAUGACUCAAUCUAAUGCAGUGUGUAUGUUAUUGACUUAAAAGCUGCACUGAUAUGACCUU